AUUGAACGCUGGCGGCAGGCCUAACACAUGCAAGUCGAACGAGUGGCGGACGGGUGAGUAAUGUCUGGGAAACUGCCUGAUGGAGGGGGAUAACUACUGGAAACGGUAGCUAAUACCGCAUACCAUCGGAUGUGCCCAUAAGGGAUUAGCUAGUAGGUGGGGUAAAGGCUCACCUAGGCGACGAUCCCUAGCUGGUCUGAGAGGAUGACCAGCCACACUGGAACUGAUACACGGUCCAGACUCCUACGGGAGGCAGCAGUGGGGUAUAUUGUACAAUGGGCGCAAGCCUGAUGCAGCCAUGCCGCGUGUAUGAAGAAGGCCUUCUGGGUGUAAAGCACUGUAAGUUGGGAGGCGUUACCAACAGAAUAAGCACCGGCUAACUUCGUGCCAGCAGCCGCGGUAAUUC
rnacentral:rRNA from 1 species